rnacentral:rRNA from 1 species
AGAGUUUGAUCAUGGCUCAGAACGAACGCUGGCGGCGUGCCUAACACAUGCAAGUCGAACGCGAAAAGUAGUAAUACUGAGUAGAGUGGCGCACGGGUGAGUAACACGUAAAUGACCUGCCUUCGAGACCUGGAUAACCGUUCGAAAGGAUGGCUAAUACGGGAUAAGCCCACGGGUUAGGAUCUGUGAGCAAAGGGUUGGGACCUUUCGGGGCCAAUCGCUUGAAGAGGGGUUUGCGGCGCAUCAGCUAGUUGGUGAGGUAACGGCUCACCAAGGCGAAGACGCGUAGCUGGUCUGAGAGGAUGAUCAGCCACACUGGAACUGAGACACGGUCCAGACUCCUACGGGAGGCAGCAGUGGGGAAUCUUGCGCAAUGGGGGAAACCCUGACGCAGCAACGCCGCGUGGGUGAUGAAGGUCUUCGGAUCGUAAAGCCCUGUCGGAGGGGAAGAUGCUUUUUGUCGCUAAUAUCGGCAAGAGGUGACGGUACCCUCAAAGGAAGCACCGGCUAACUCUGUGCCAGCAGCCGCGGUAAUACAGAGGGUGCAAGCGUUGUUCGGAAUUAUUGGGCGUAAAGGGAGUGUAGGCGGUUAACUAAGUCUUCUGUGAAAUCUACGGGCUCAGCCUGUAACGUGCAGAGGAAACUGGUUGACUUGAGUGUCGGAGAGGAUAGUGGAAUUCCAGGUGUAGAGGUGAAAUUCGUAGAGAUCUGGAGGAACACCAGUGGCGAAGGCGACUAUCUGGCUGACAACUGACGCUGAGACUCGAAAGCAUGGGGAGCAAACAGGAUUAGAUACCCUAGUAGUCC